rnacentral:rRNA from 1 species
UACAGAGGUCUCAAGCGUUGUUCGGAUUCAUUGGGCGUAAAGGGCGCGUAGGCGGCGGGGUAAGUCUGGUGUGAAAUCUCGGAGCUCAACUCCGAAAUUGCACUGGAUACUGCUCUGCUAGAGGGCUGGAGAGGAGAUCGGAAUUCACGGUGUAGCAGUGAAAUGCGUAGAUAUCGUGAGGAAGACCAGUGGCGAAGGCGACUUCCUGGCCUGUUCUUGACGCUGAGGCGCGAAAGCUAGGGGGAGCAAACGGG